UGACCUCGUGAUCCGCCCACCUCGGCCUCCCAAAGUGCUGGGAUUACAGGCAUGAGCCACCGCACCUGGCCAUAAAUGGGGCAGCUUUAAGGAAGUGCUGUGGAACAUCAGAUAGAAUGGAUAGCACAGCCCAAAUUUUACAAAAAGGAUUUUAAAGGAAGAUCUCAAUGGUGGAACACUAGAGGCUUUCCUGCUAAAGUUAAGAACAAGCAAAGGCUGACGCAGUUUUGGCAUGCAGGAAGUGUUGGAGCUGAGACUCGAAACUGUCCCCCAGGCCUUGGCCAUGCUGAUAAAUAUCUAGGCCCUACAGGAGUUCGUGUCCAUGAACCCAGUAAACGCAAUUCCUCAGCCUUAAAAUCUAGUCACUGACUCAUUUCAGGCCCCAGCACAGACGAAAACAAGCCAUUCUGUUUGCCCAGUUUACAUUGCGGGUCUCCAAGAAGUGGAAUGUUCACCAAUGAUUUUAAGAAAACAGGGCCUGGCGCGGUGGCUCACGCCUGUAAUCCCAGCACUUUGGGAGGCCGAGGCAGGCAGAUCACCUGAG
rnacentral:lncRNA from 1 species